rnacentral:rRNA from 1 species
AUGUGGGUUACCUGUGUGGUAGCAAGAAAACAGCACUGCAACCUUGAAUUUCUUGCGGCACCCAGUCCUUUGUUCUCAACAUCCACCUACUGUGAGCUCAACUUUGUAAGUGUCUUCCGCAAAGAAAAGGAAAAGGUGUUCUCUGAGGAACCAGCCAGAGCCGGAGAUGGCGGAGACGGUGGUAAGCAUGGCGAGGUCCAUGCUGGGAGGCGCUAUCAGCAAGGCCGCCUCUGCUGCGGCCGCGAGCUGAGCUUGGUGAUGGGUGUGCAGAAGGAUAUUUGGUUCAUCAAAGACGAGCUAAAGACGAUGCAGGCAUUCUUGGCAGCCGCUGAAGCAACGAAGAACAGAGACAUGCUGCUUAAAGUGUGGGCAGAGCAAGUAAGGGACCUGUCCUACAAUAUAGAAGAUUGCCUUGAUGAAUUUAUGGUUCAUGUACGGAGCCAAAGCCUGACUAAACGGCUCAUAAAGCUCAAAGAUUGUCGUAGGCUUGCUAUCCAAAUCCGCAACCUGAAAUCAAGAGUUGAAGAAGUGAGCAGCAGGAAUGCACGCUACAACUUGAUCAAGACAGAGGCCUCAACGACCAGUGACAUGGAGGUUUCUUACAUAGAAGAUGUACGUAAUCACUCGGCAAGCAACACUGAUGAAGCAGAACUCGUGGGCUUUACCAAGCCUAGGGAGGAGUUGAUUAAGCUGAUGGAUGUCAACACUAGAGAUGGUGAUGCCAAAGUUAUAUGUGUCAUUGGCAUGGGUGGUUUAGGCAAGACUACUCUUGCAAGAAAAACUUAUGAAAGUAAGGAAGAUAUUGUGAAGAAUUUUUCUUGCUGUGCAUGGAUUACAGUUUCACAGUCAUUUUUCAAGAUAGAAAUGCUCAAGGAUAUGAUCAGGCAACUUCUGGGUGGAGAUUCACUGAAGAACUUGUUGAAAGAACUUGAAGGGAAGGUGGUGCAAGUAAAAGACCUCGCCGAGUACCUCAAUCAAGAGAUUAAGGAUAAGAGGUACCUUAUUAUUCUUGAUGACUUGUGGACCAUAGAUGCAUGGAGGUGGAUUAAAGAUAUUGUUUUUCCUAGUAGUAACAAGAACGGUAGUCGAAUAAUAGUAACAACACGUGAUGUUGGCUUAGCAAAGGAAUGUACUCUUGAAUCCCUUAUCUACCACCUUAAAACCUUAGAGGUAGUCGAGGCCACAAAUUUGCUACUAAAAAAGAGUAGGAAAGUAUCUGAAGAAAUGGACAAAGUUGAAAACUUCAAGAGCAUAGUUGAAAAACUAGUUAAAAAGUGUGGUUGUUUACCACUAGCCAUACUCACAAUUGGAGGGAUCCUUGCCACUAAAAAGAUAGUAGAGUGGGAGCAAUUCUAUAGCCAACUCCCGUCUGAGCUUGAGAGUAACCCAAGCCUUGAAGCAAUGAAGAUGAUGGUUACUUUGAGUUACAACCACUUGCCAUCUCAUCUUAAGCCAUGUUUCUUAUACCUAAGCAUCUUUCCCGAGGAUUCAGAAAUCCAGAUGAGGCGUCUAAUAGAAAGAUGGAUUGCCGAGGGGUUGAUUAGGGUUGGGACUGGGUUGAACAUUGAUGAUGUGGCAAAAGGUUACUUUAAUGAGUUAAUCAACCGAAGCAUGCUUCAAGCAUCAAGGGUGAACAUAGAAGGAGUUGUGAAGAGCUGUCGAGUCCAUGAUAUUGUGCGUGAUGUCAUGAUCUCAGUUUCAAGAGAUGGAAAUUUUGUGCAUCUGGUGGGAAAUAAUGUAACUGGUGCUAUGGAGGAGACCUUCCGACAUGUAGCAUACCAUGGUAGCAUGUGCCAGAAGAUAGAUAUGGAUUGGAGCCACGUCCGAUCAGUAACUGUGUUUGGUGAGAGAUCAUUGGGUCAAUCAGCUUCAGUUUGUUCACCUGACAUGAGAAUGCUCCGGGCCUUGGAUCUAGAGAAUGCACAGUUUCAAGUCACACAGAAGGAUAUCAGCAACAUAGGAUUGUUUCGGCACUUGAAGUAUCUGAAUUUUUCUAAUCCUCCAAGAUAUUCACAUAUUUAUAAACUUCCUAGAUCCAUAGGGAGAUUACAAGGCUUGCGCACUUUGAACAUUAGAGACAGUUAUAUUACAGAACUGCCAACUGAGAUUAGUAAACUCAAGAGUCUACAUAGUCUCCAUUGUACCAGAAGGCAUUGGUACACACACUUUGACCUGUAUGACCCCAAGGAAUGCUUGCUGGAAACACUUUGUCUGCCCAUGUUGUGCACACUUUUGGUUGAUCCUAGUAAGCGUACCCAUAAAGUUGUUGAGCUACACAUGGCCUGGUCUAGCCGUUGGUCCGAGUCAAGGGGUGUGAGGGUGCCAAAAGGAAUCGGCAAACUGAAAGAGCUGCAAAUACUAGAGCUCGUGGACCUCAGACGAACUAGCUGCAAAGCAAUUAAAGAGCUAUGUGAGUUUGUGCAGCUGAGAAAACUGAGUGUGGUAACAAAAGGGGCCACCAAGCAAAAAAGCAAACUACUCUGUGAUGCCAUUCAGAAGCUCACCUGCCUCCGCUCCCUUGAAGUGGAUGGUUCACUCGGGUGGCUGCAUGUUGUCUCCUCUCCUCCUCCCCUGUUGAGAACUUCUGCUUCGGUACACCCCCUCCCCCCCAAGAACGGCUCAGAUUAA